rnacentral:misc_RNA from 1 species
UACGUAGGUGGCAAGCGUUGUCCGGAAUUAUUGGGCGUAAAGCGCGCGCAGGCGGUUUCUUAAGUCUGAUGUGAAAGCCCACAGCUUAACUGUGGAGGGUCAUUGGAAACUGGGGAACUUGAGUACAGAAGAGGAGAGCGAAAUUCCACGUGUAGCGGUGAAAUGCGUAGAUAUGUGGAGGAACACCAGUGGCGAAGGCGACUCUCUGGUCUGUAACUGACGCUGAGGAGCGAAAGCGUGGGGAGCGAACAGG